rnacentral:lncRNA from 1 species
CACAAGACACAGCAUUACCUUGUGAUAUUGGCAGACACUCAUGAGACCUAAAAGGAUCUGUGGACUAAUUGCAGGCUUUGCAGUAGCUAAGUAAAAUGAAAGAGACGGCACUGGAGUCGGUUCCAUGAGAAUGAUUUCACUGUAACACAGCUUGCCUUGGUUGUCGGAAACUUGCUUAGCUUUUCGGAGAGAGGAUCUAAGUUCUGCUUUCUCAAGGUGAGAAAACUGAAGCACUCAAAAUUACUUGUGAAAGUCACACAGAUAAUAAGUGACUGAUUGAAAUUCAGGUCCGGGCAGCCUAGCUCCACAGACCUCAUCUCUAAUAACGCUGUACGAAACUGUUCCCCACCACAAGGGAACCUUUUGAAUGGAGCCAACACCUUGGGGAGGCUAGUUGGCAGUCCAAGUUCUUAGCCAAGACAAUGGGCUGCUAUCUUAUAAGAGGGCUGGCCCGUCGGCUCUACCAUUGUUCCUCCUCUGGCGCCCUCUGCCUCCUCCAUCAGUCUUGGGCCAUGUGACCCUGCAGUGCUACGGGAGCAUUUCUGUGGCAGCUCUUGUUUCAGUUGGAGCGUGUUCUGCCUUAGACUUGUAGCAGCUUCUCUGCCCUGGAGGUCCCACCAGCUUCAACACUUAUUGAUUAAUUUUGCCACUGCAUCGUUUCACUCCCCGUGAACUUGAAAACCUCACAGUAAAUAUGAAAGUGCUAAGGUCAGUAAAUAAAGAAGUGAUAGUGUC